AGGUAAGCUACUAAGAGCGAAUGGUGGAUGCCUUGACUGGUAAAGGCGAUGAAGGACGUACUAGACUGCGAUAAGCUACGGGGAGCUGUCAAGAAGCUUUGAUCCGUAGAUUUCCGAAUGGGGCAACCCAAUGUAUAGAGAUAUACAUUACCUAUAUAGGAGCGAACGAGGGGAAUUGAAACAUCUUAGUACCCUCAGGAAAAGAAAUCAAUAGAGAUUGCGUCAGUAGCGGCGAGCGAAAGCGCAAGAGGGCAAACCCAGUGCUUGCACUGGGGGUUGUAGGACUGCAAUGUGCAAGAGGUAAGUUUAGCAGAACAUUCUGGAAAGUAUAACCAUAGAGGGUGAUAGUCCCGUAUGCGAAAAACAAACCUUAGCUAGCAGUAUCCUGAGUAGGGCGGGACACGAGGAAUCCUGUCUGAAUCCGGGUCGACCACGAUCCAACCCUAAAUACUAAUACCAGAUCGAUAGUGCACAAGUACCGUGAGGGAAAGGUGAAAAGAACUGAGGUGAUCAGAGUGAAAUAGAACCUGAAACCAUUUGCUUACAAUCAUUCAGAGCCCUAUGUAGCAAUACAGGGUGAUGGACUGCCUUUUGCAUAAUGAGCCUGCGAGUUGUGGUGUCUGGCAAGGUUAAGCAAACGCGAAGCCGUAGCGAAAGCGAGUCUGAAUAGGGCGCUUAGUCAGAUGCUGCAGACCCGAAACGAAGUGAUCUAUCCAUGAGCAAGUUGAAGCUAGUGUAAGAACUAGUGGAGGACUGAACCCAUAGGCGUUGAAAAGCCCCGGGAUGACUUGUGGAUAGGGGUGAAAGGCCAAUCAAACUUCGUGAUAGCUGGUUCUCUCCGAAAUAUAUUUAGGUAUAGCGUUGUGUCGUAAUAUAAGGGGGUAGAGCACUGAAUGGGCUAGGGCAUACACCAAUGUACCAAACCCUAUCAAACUCCGAAUACCUUAUAUGUAAUCACAGCAGUCAGGCGGCGAGUGAUAAAAUCCGUCGUCAAGAGGGAAACAACCCAGACUACCAGCUAAGGUCCCUAAGUCUUACUUAAGUGGAAAACGAUGUGAAGUUACUUAAACAACCAGGAGGUUGGCUUAGAAGCAGCCAUCCUUUAAAGAAAGCGUAAUAGCUCACUGGUCUAGUGAUUUUGCGCGGAAAAUAUAACGGGGCUAAAGUAAGUACCGAAGCUGUAGACUUAGUUUACUAAGUGGUAGGAGAGCGUUCUAUUUGCGUCGAAGGUAUACCGGUAAGGAGUGCUGGAGCGAAUAGAAGUGAGCAUGCAGGCAUGAGUAGCGAUAAUUAAUGUGAGAAUCAUUAACGCCGUAAACCCAAGGUUUCCUACGCGAUGCUCGUCAUCGUAGGGUUAGUCGGGUCCUAAGUCGAGUCCGAAAGGGGUAGACGAUGGCAAAUUGGUUAAUAUUCCAAUACCAACAUUAGUGUGCGAUGGAAGGACGCUUAGGGCUAAGGGGGCUAGCGGAUGGAAGUGCUAGUCUAAGGUCGUAGGAGGUUAUACAGGCAAAUCCGUAUAACAAUACUCCGAGAACUGAAAGGCUUUUUGAAGUCUUCGGAUGGAUAGAAGAACCCCUGAUGCCGUCGAGCCAAGAAAAGUUUCUAAG
rnacentral:rRNA from 1 species